rnacentral:rRNA from 1 species
AUUGAACGCUGGCGGCAGGCCUAACACAUGCAAGUCGAGCGGAUGAAGGGAGCUUGCUCCUGGAUUCAGCGGCGGACGGGUGAGUAAUGCCUAGGAAUCUGCCUGGUAGUGGGGGAUAACGUCCGGAAACGGGCGCUAAUACCGCAUACGUCCUGAGGGAGAAAGUGGGGGAUCUUCGGACCUCACGCUAUCAGAUGAGCCUAGGUCGGAUUAGCUAGUUGGUGGGGUAAAGGCCUACCAAGGCGACGAUCCGUAGCUGGUCUGAGAGGAUGAUCAGUCACACUGGAACUGAGACACGGUCCAGACUCCUACGGGAGGCAGCAGUGGGGAAUAUUGGACAAUGGGCGAAAGCCUGAUCCAGCCACGCCGCGUGUGUGAAGAAGGUCUUCGGAUUGUAAAGCACUUUAAGUUGGGAGGAAGGGCAGUAAGUUAAUACCUUGCUGUUUUGACGUUACCAACAGAAUAAGCACCGGCUAACUUCGUG